UUUAGACGUGAUGAGUGUAUUAUUACCGCCCCAGUCUGAAGAUUCAUGACUGAUUGGUACCCCUCUGAUCUUAA
rnacentral:snoRNA from 1 species